ACGGGCUGGCUCUGCCUUUCUGCAGCUGGGGACGCAUAGGAAAUUGAAAUUUACAACACCGUGGGCACUGCCCCUCCUCUGAAACAGUUCCUGGAAUAUCCCAAACUGGAGGUCUCACAGGGGCCACUGGUGAGGAGGGGCUGCUGAUGAGUACUAGAUGAGCCACUGAACUUCUCAACAUCCUGCUCCAGUUGAACGAAGCUAUCCAAUUUUCAUUUCUUCUGCUUUUGGUAAAGAAUAGUCUGGAGCUCCCCAGCUCCCUACUCUCAGAGUGUUGUUUUGGAUGAAGCUGA